CCUACGGGUGGCAGCAGUGGGGAAUAUUGCGCAAUGGGCGAAAGCCUGACGCAGCGACGCCGCGUGAGGGAUGAAGGUCUUCGGAUCGUAAACCUCUGUCAGCAGGGAAGAACGGUCACUGUGCUAAUCAGCAGUGAAUUGACGGUACCUGCAAAGGAAGCACCGGCUAACUCCGUGCCAGCAGCCGCGGUAAUACGGAGGGUGCGAGCGUUAAUCGGAAUUACUGGGCGUAAAGCGCUCGUAGGCGGUAUGUCAAGUCAAGGGUGAAAGCCCCGCGCUCAACGUGGGAACUGCCUUUGAAACUGGCAAACUGGAGUGUGUGAGAGGAUAGGGGAAUUCCAGGUGUAGGAGUGAAAUCCGGAGAUAUCUGGAGGAACAUCAGUGGCGAAGGCGACUAUCUGGCACAUAACUGACGCUGAGGAGCGAAAGCGUGGGUAGCAAACAGGAUUAGAUACCCGAGUAGUC
rnacentral:rRNA from 1 species